GUGUGUGGGGGGGGGCAAACUGCUUGUCAUACUAACAAGAUCUGUUUUUGUUUGGCAGAUUACCAGUUCGACUGAAGAUUGCCAUUUCGACUUUGAAGCUUGCCAUUACAACUUUGAAGGACGCAAAAGAGUUCUAAGAUGCCACGUGGAAGCAAGCAGUCCCGGGCGGCGAAGGCACGCCACGUGAGCAGGCAGCUGUCUGCUGAAGAAGAGGUUGCGGCGCCUCUUGAAAUACAGCCAGCAUCGCAAAGCAAAUCUCAAAGCAAAUCUCAAAGCAAAUGUCUGAGCGAAUGUCUGAGCGAAUGUCCAAGCCAAAGGCAAAGCCUUGCAAGCAAAGUCAAAGAAAGUCAAAGCCCUCUAAACUCUCAACCUCUCAAACUCUCCUCAAACUCUGAACCUCUCAAACUCUCCUCAAACUCUGAACCUCUCAAACCCUCCUCAAACUCUGUGUCAGUUACUGUAACUUCUACCAAUGCUACUAAUGAUUGUUUUCAGUCUGUCGAUGCUCCAGCGAAGCCUCUCCUGAUGGGAUCGUUUCAUCAAGGCCAUUCGCGCUUUGGUGACAUCAAAGACAAGCAGUGCGGCCCAGUCAGCCUGGUUGCAGUUUUGCGGUCCAAGACUAAGAAUGUUCUUACAUGGACGGCCAGAGAUUUAGACGACAUAUUGAUGAGAGGAAGUGCUUUGUAUAGACGUCUGAGAAGUGCAGAUCAAAUCAGUGAUAAAAUGCAUGGACAUGUAUCAGUCACAGAACUACCAACUAAACACAAUGUGUGGAAUUCUGAAUUUUCAAUAAACUUUGCUGAAUCUUA